GUCUGGGGUGAUAGGCUUUAAAAGGUCCGCAGCGGGAGGUGAAAGAGGUGUUUAGGAUGACGAGAAAAACGUAUAAAGUAUUAUUUCACCUAACAGCGGGCAGGGAAAGACCUCACCUGUUACAGGAGGGCCUCCACCACACAGCUGCUGCCCACUUCAGUGGCCUCCAGAGUGGAGCAGUCAAGAUGACCUGUGGAGUGCUGGAAGAACAUUCUAGAGCCUGUAUCCCUACUUAUUUUUUCUUUUUACAUCUGUUAUGUGUUUUAUAAUUUAUGUAAGAUUGACAUACCAUGCACAUGACCUUAAAAGGAAAUACACGAGGGUGUGCCCAAGCAUGUAAGCUUUACCAGCAUAGGCAAGGGUCAGAAAUUUGGAGGUAAGGGCCUGAUGGUCUGUCGUUAGGAUCUGGUGCUUUCACCACUGCAGCCUAGGUUCAGUCCCUGGUCUGGGAAUUGAGAUCCCACAGCAAGCCACUGCACACCAUGGCCAAAAAACACCGAAAAAUUGGAGACAGCUUUCCUACGUUACCGGUCUCCUUCAUGUACUCUUUGCCUGUGCUUCCCAAGCCUGAGUUUGCAUCAGAAUCCCCUGACGGGAGUUCCCGACGAGGCGCAGCGGAGACGAACCCGACCAGGAACCGUGAGUUUGUAGGUUCAAUCCCUGGCCUCACUUAGUGGGUUAAGGAUCUUUUGUGGUUGUGGCUGUGGCAUAGGCCAGCGGUGUAGCUCCAAUUCGACCCCUCCAUAUGCCACAGGUGCGGCCCUAAAAAGGAAAAAAAAAAAAAUCACCUGAUGGACUUUUUGAAGCGGUCUGUUCCUGUUCGUGAGUAGGGCCUUAAAACCUAGAUGUGCUGAUGCUACUGGGCUGGGAACCACCCUGGAAGGACCUCUGCUCUAAGCUGCACCAAAACUAGGUUCCGGCUGAAGGCGGCAGCUCGUGGAAUUCCAUCUACUUGAAAUGCCCUCGUCUCUGUGAAGGUCCGUUUGCAUGGUUAGCACCUCCUCCAAGUCCUCCUACUUCGUGCAACUGGAGGUGAUCUUACUCCUUAGCGUUUAGGUAGGACUGAAUUGAUGCCCAGAAUGUUGUGCUUUGCAUUACAGUUAUUUGUAUAAUUUCACCUUUCUUACUGGAUGAGAAG
rnacentral:lncRNA from 1 species